rnacentral:lncRNA from 1 species
UUUUUAAAGAUACACACCACUAGCCUCUCAGGCCAUAAAAUCUUUAGGACACAGAGGUCUGGUGUCAGCCUUCUCCUGAUAUCUGACAUGGUGCAACAGCCUCUGCCCUAGGUAGCUUCGGAGCUACAAGUACAAAAGUGACCAGAGAAAGGGAAAAAAAAAAAAAAAAAAAAAAAAAAAAAAAAAAAAAACCACACAACAAACCCCCAAACCAAAAACAACAACAGAAAACCAACAAAACUGACCCUACAACAGGAUCUAGGAAAACUCCCAGCUCCGUGCCACCCAAAAGGUUUGCACACCAUCGUGCGAGUCAAAAUGCCACCAUUAAAGUGGUGAAAGCAGUGCUUCAUUGUCAAGAACAGAGAGCAAGAAAGAAGUGUUCCUAGCAGGAAACAGCCAGCAGACCCCCAAACAAAGUAGGGCUGUGUGGAAAAAGAAAAAAGGAGGGGGUGAGGGUAAGCAAAGACAUCCCUCAUCUUCACUGUGCAGUGCACUGGUAACAGUAACAGUUCUCACAGUGUGAUUCUCCCAGGCUCAGAAGAAGCUGCUGCUUUUCAUGGAAAUGUGCAUUUUUCCUCUGUCUCUGAGAAACAUCACUUAUUGUGAAUAGUGGAGUAUUUUUCCCCUCCAGAAAUUUCAUUCAGAAGUACAAAUGAAAAGUGUCACAUCUAAAACCGCAUGGAGCUACAUAUUGCACCAUUCUCAAGUCAACCAAACCAAAAAUAACCUGCCAAGAAUGUGUACAUCCAUCGUACACCAGGGUAGAGCUGUCUUACAGAGUGGAAGGAUGCAUGUGUGUGUAUGUGUGUGACUGCAUGCAUUCAUGAAUAUCUCGAUCUCACAGGGGUGUGUGUGUGUGUGUGCAUGUGUGUGUGCGUCUGCAUUAUGUUGAUGUACUCGACAAAGUGUGAAAAAUGUACUUCUAGAAAAACUUGAAAGGAGAUGUCAUUUAUCAUUGUAUCAUCAUAAUACCACAAAUUUCACUUUUCUGUUCCAUUUUGGAUUGCAUGUGUUAGAGAGUACUUCACUAGAUCAGUGACAGCGCUUUAUUUGCAUAAUUAUAUGCUCUGGUCUGAAGAGAAAACUAACCCCCAAAUUUCAUGGGUCACCAAACCGCAACAAUCAAUGUUUUAUCACAUAUGCUAAGCAAAACCUAAGGAGCUAUAUGAAGUUUCUUGUGGAUUUUUUGCUCCUCAGAAAAUUAAAGAUGUGCCUCCUGAAUAGAUGCAAAAUCUUUCCAAGCUCUUUGUAGCUGAAUUCCAUUUGAAGAGAAAACUAGAGAUUAGCUCGUAGAUCUGGAUUUCAAACCCACUAGCAUUCUUACUUCAAAGUGGAUUCAGACAAGCAGCUUUACUGCAUCUCUAAAUUUUGCCAUCCUAAGUAAUGUCAUUUAAAUUGCGGCAAUCAAAAAAGUAAGCUAAAAGAAAAAAAAGUUAGUCAAAUGUAAAAAGUAUAAUCACCCCCUCUCUUAUCAAGCCCAUAAUGACCAGUGGGUUUAAUUCCAUUUAUUCUGUGGAGUUUCAUUGUUUCAGCUGGGUGCUAUCCAUGUAUGAAGAUAUGGAUAUUUGGUAUAUGUAGAAAACCCUUUCCUGAGCUGCAGAAUUUGUUCUGGUCUAUCAGCUGCACAAUAACCACACACUCCAGUUAGGACAUACAUACUCCAAGUUUCCUUCUCAAUCAAAAUGCCUUAUUAUGAGGAGGAAAAAACCUGGGGGUGGGAACUGACUGGCAGUGAAGAUCCCCCAUGUCCUCCUCUUCCAUUCACACUAGUACUGCUGAAAAAGUUUAGCUCUUUUUUUAAGUGAAUUUAAUACAAAAUAAUAAAUAUAGUGCAAUAUAAUAAUUCACUCAAAGUACAGGAAGACCUCUUAGAAGUGUUGAUGAGCAGCACCUAUCCCAGGGGACAUGCCACCCACACUUCACUGCAAACAACCCAGAAAAACCCCCAAAAUCUUCUCUGGGCUUCAAGCCAUAACUUUACUGGUAGAAGUUCUCAUGGGUUGCUACCUUGCAGUUGGGUCCCUCUAAGCUCUUGAGAAGAAUAAACUUUUAUAAAGGGGCCUAUUUCAAGUAACAAGGCCUUCGGUGAUCUGACCCCAGGGAGAGCAGUGCCUGGGAAGGAAGGAGUGUGCGUUGUGUAGGUUAAGAACCUGGAGAGGAGCACUUCUGCUAUCCUAUCUGUACUUUUUUUUUUUUUUUCCUGACUUUAACAUCAACUCCAGAAGCCUUCCAGGGGGAAAUGGGUUCCCAGCACAGACUGGCACCUGAGAGGUUCAACUUCUCACAUUUGACUCCUGAUUGAUCUCCAAACACCCGCUCCAGGCAGACACCAGCUUUGUGCCACCUCCUUGCCUCGCAGGAGGAACAGGAACAAAGUGAAGCAUGAGUGGAAAAUAAAAACAGUGCUAAAACACAAGUCUCCUCACCACCCUUGUCUGACUGCUGGCAUGGGAUUCUGUGGGAUGCAGGGACAGAGAGAGAAGAGCACACUCUGAAGCAUCUCUUACCCCUCCCCACUGUCUGCAUUCCUCCUCUGGAGUCAAGUAAAUAUGAAUAUUCACAGAGGAUUGGUCUGCAGGGUGGUUUGUCCUAAUGGAGACAAUAGCAUCAGUUAUUUCCCACUAAAUUGCAGCACAGGAGAGAUCUGACCCCUCUGAGGAGAGGCCUAAGUCAUCUCCUUUUGCUGUUUCCAUUUCUCUUUGCUCAUACCUACCUAAUCCCCUAAUGCCUGGUAAAGGGCUGUUUCAAGAUUCUGCUUUUCUUUUAAGAUUCUAUCUCUGCUACUGUUACAUAAGCUCAUCUCCCCUCCUCCUGAGACUGCUUUAUGCCUUCUCCUUCCAUAUCAACUUGCUAAAAAAUUGUUUUCUAUAGUAAAGCCCCUGAUGUGGACGGUCCUCCAUGUCUCCCCACAACAUGCAGAUACAAAAAUAACAUACUCCAUAAUAAUGUGUCCAGGUCUGUUUGCCUAUGGCUUGUGGAGAAAGGGCCUAACAUCACCAGAUAUUUGCAAAUACUGAUCUGUCUGUUCGCAGUGAGCCAGGUGUUGCCAGUUUUGCCAAUGGCUGAGGGUGAUCUGCCUCUCACAUAUGUCUUGAUAGGUGCUUCACAUGUUGGUGGGGUAUUUUAUUCUUUGGGGGUUUGGGCUUAUUUGGGUUUUUUUUGUAUGGUGAUGGCUACUUGGAUUAAAAAUCGUUUCCU